rnacentral:lncRNA from 1 species
GGGGCAUCUUCCUCAUUUUAUAGGCAAAUUAGCCCGACUGCAGUGACUUUACUCUUGCCCGAAAGCACUUGGAGGGUAGUGACUUGUAUUACCACUGAAAACUACUUUUUGGCUAAUUGUGAGUUAGUCCCCAUCACUUAACAUUUUAAAUUAUAGGCACCUGGCCUAUUCAUUAAUGGGAAGGUGCCAAUUUGUCUCUAGG